ACAGACUCUGCUGACAGCUUGUUCAAACACGCUCUCAAAGAACCUGCGGAACCACCUGAUCAACAUCUUCUACAGCAAAUAGGGAAAGAUUAAGAAUGAG